rnacentral:rRNA from 1 species
UACGUAGGGGGCAAGCGUUGUCCGGAAUCACUGGGCGUAAAGCGCGCGCAGGCGGUCAUCUACGUCUGGGGUGAAAGCCCGGAGCUCAACUCCGGGACUGCCUUGGAUACGGGAUGACUUGAGGAUCGGAGAGGCAAGGGGAAUUCCACGUGUAGCGGUGAAAUGCGUAGAGAUGUGGAGGAACACCAGUGGCGAAGGCGGCUUUCUGGUCUGUAACUGACGCUGAGGCGCGAAAGCGUGGGGAGCAAACAGG